UGCGAGUCGAGCGUCUCUAGUUAUGGUGAGACGCGGCAGACGGCUCAGUAACACGUGGCUAACCUACCCUCAGGACAGGGACAAACCCGGGAAACUGGGGCUAAUACCCGAUAGGUGAGGGCGCCUGGAAUGGUUCUUCACCCAAAGGGCUUUGGAAGCAUGCUUUUCAAAGUCGCCAGGGGAUGGGGCCGCGCCCGAUCAGGUUGUUGGUGGGGUAACGGCUCACCAAGCCUAUAACCGGUACGGGCCGUGAGAGCGGGAGCCCGGAGAUGGGCACUGAGACAAGGGCCCAGGCCCUACGGGGCGCAGCAGUCGCGAAAACUCCGCAAUGCGCGAAAGCGUGACGGGGCUACCCCGAGUGCCGUCCGCUGAGGAUGGCUUUUCCCCGGUGUAAUGAGCCGGGGGAAUAAGGAGAGGGCAAGUCUGGUGUCAGCCGCCGCGGUAAUACCAGCUCUCCGAGUGGUAGGGAUGAUUAUUGGGCUUAAAGCGUCCGUAGCCGGCUUAGCAAGUCUCCUGUCAAAUUCAGCGACUUAAUCGUUGAGCCGCGGGAGAUACUACUAGGCUAGGAGGCGGGAGAGGCCGACGGUAUUCUCGGGGUAGGGGUGAAAUCCUAUAAUCCCGGGAGGACCACCAGUGGCGAAGGCUGUCGGCUAGAACGCGCUCGACGGUGAGGGACGAAAGCUGGGGGAGCGAACCGGAUUAGAUACCCGGGUAGUCCCAGCUGUAAACGAUGCGGGCUAGGUGUUGGGGUGGCUACGAGCCACUUCAGUGCCGCAGGGAAGCCAUUAAGCCCGCCGCCUGGGGAGUACGGCC
rnacentral:rRNA from 1 species